UGAUUUGACAGGCUAAAACUGUGCUUAAGUUGAAUGAAGUGUUUCAUGAAAAAAUGUGUCUAUCAGUUUUGCCUCGAAUAUUGCGCAAGGUAGCUUGUUGAUCUUAAUUCUGAACUAAAAAGGGUUCACCACCGGACAGUGGAAGUGAUAGAAAACGAUGAUGGGAACAUCCGCAUCAAAAGCUGCGAUGGAUGAGCUUAUCCGAAAAACUGUGCCUGUGAGUAAAAAAUCCAUAGACUAGCAAUAAUAGCAACAAAGAAUUUUAUUUUACAGUUUCCCUGCCGCCGCAUUCGGGUUUCAGUUCACAACCCAAUUGGACGCUCCAGUCGCUGGACAAUUUCAACCUAAAUUCGAAAUGCCUCAAAAUAUUCUCUAACCAUAAGCGUAUUCUGCACGGCACUUCACUGCCGUUAUCAUGGUAAUUGCAUGACUCCAGCAACCGGUCUCCUGCUGCAUUUAGUUCAGUAUUCCCGUCUCUGGUGCACGGCGUAGAAAUCUUCGUGAAUACAGUGGCCACGAACAAUGCUGGUGACGCAUCCUGUGCACUUUUCUUUCACCCUUGUACAGCUCACGGUCACUUCACUUUCCGUUUCCAUUGUGGGGGAACGAUUUUGUUUGACCGGCUAUGUUUGGUUUGUUUCAGAGAUUGUUUGUGUUUUGUUUACUUCUACAUUUUCCGCUCCCGUACUGCAGGAUAUCGAUACGGGAUACGCAGGAGUGAAAAUUGAGCAUUUGACUUAGGGGGUAUCCAUAAACAUCGGAAUAUGUAUUUUUCACUUCCAGCCUCUUUAAACCAACCAACAAUUUAAAAAAAAAAAUAGAAAUGUACACGGUUUCACCACAUCAUAAUAUCUUGAAUUCAAAUGUUCAUACUUUUUGUUAAAUUUUAUAAAUACCUACUAUUUUCAAUAAGUCCCAUUUUUCAUUUUUUCCAUUUCCGUACGCCCAUGAAAAACUUUCUCUCCCUCUCAUUCGAAAAAAAAAUCUCUUCAUUCUCCAGCAUAAGUUUCAUUUGUUUUGAUUUGGAUAUUCUGAUUACUUCUGAUCAACUUUCCAGAACGAUGGAAUAAAUCAUUCCGAAAGAUAAAAAAGUGGCCCAAAAGUGACUUCGGUUCCGGCUAAAAAUGUUGGCUACUCUUGACGACAGGUUGCUUUACCUUAGAAAAGAUGCUGGUAUUGGCGGCUGCGUUCAGCUUUCGGAGGCUCAAGCGGUGCGGUUCCGAUACCAUUCAAAAACAAAAUCAAUGUCGGCAACUUGCAGUGAAACAUUACAACCCAAUCGGAUAUCCACUACUGAAACUCAUCAGCUGGGUGCUGUUCAGAUUGUGCUGCGACAAUAAAUUUAACAGGAAUUUGCGACGCAGAAAUAGCCCCAUUCCAUGCCUUUUUCAACAUAAGUCGGAAUGGUACCUAUCUGAAGAAGUUGGCCGUUUAAAAACUUCCGGUGCACCAAUGGAAGCCAACGUAACGAAGGUCUACCCGGGAUCUGUCCAAGUCUAUAACCGGGAAGCUAAACAUGGGCAAGGAUCUAAGUAGAUCGUGUGUCUCGCCAUGGUUUUCCUAGGAAAAGGGCAAGUACUAUGAUCAACAUUUCGCUACUUCCAUUAUAGAAAUUACAGUUCUGCUGAUAGUUUUUUUCAACUUUGGAAUUUCAUAACUUUUUAGUUUGUGAAUAUUUCAAACAUUCUAUGAAGGAUAAAUAAUUAUCCCAUGAAAUUUGGCGUUUCUUUGAUGUUUCUGUGUAACUUGAGAUACAUUAACAAAAAAUGUCACUUUCUUAUUUAAAUUCACUCAAGCCUAAAUAUCUCAGAAAUCACGCAAUACCUAAGUCAAAAUUCUACAGAGCAAAUCUUAUAAGAUAAAACUAUCAUGUGGUACAAUUUUUGGGCAUUCACCGAAAGAUACAAUUUCAAUAUAAUUUCGGAUGAAAAUAAAAUAUCUACUUAGUAAAAGGUUACAGCAGUUUGAAAUUUAAGUUUAAAUUGCAGCACGGAAACUUUGUAUAGAAUUAUGAACGGCACUGUAGUUUGUAAAUUCCUUCUCGUAAACCUAGUUCCUAAAUAUUAGAUGAUGGACGGAUAAAUUUCACAAUUAUUGUCGGUUUAUGUUGGCUGUUAUUUCAUUGUGAAAAUGUAAACAAAAUCCAAUAAAAUUUGAUUUGUUCUAAUUGUGUUUAGAUUUAUUGCUAUGCGUAUACAAUAUCACAAAUUCCUUCUCAUUUGGGGAUGACCAUUUCUCUUAUUUUUGAAAGGCAAGAAAACAAUUACCCGCCGCUCUGAAAAUUCAGUUGUUAGUAUUGCAAUAUUACACGCUCUUAAUUUUACAGCUUUUCUUGCAUGUAAAAAAUCCCUGUAUUGAUGUAUUGAUUGGACUCUGUUGAAUUCUAUGUCGAAAGCAAUGUAAUUUUAUGUGAAAUGCGAUGAUAUAUUUAUGUGCAUCCAGUUUGACAUAAAGUUAUAUCCUUUUCGAUGUAAUUUUACGUCUUCGAUAAUUUAUGGCUUCAAGCGUUUCUGUCUUCUCUAGUGUAAUUUUAUGUCAAAAAUGAUGCUUCAGUUUUGUGC